ACGGAGGAUACGAGCGUUAUUCGGAUUUAUUGGGUUUAAAGGGAGCGUAGGUGGAUUGUUAAGUCAGUUGUGAAAGUUUGCGGCUCAACCGUAAAAUUGCAGUUGAAACUGGCAGUCUUGAGUACAGUAGAGGUGGGCGGAAUUCGUGGUGUAGCGGUGAAAUGCUUAGAUAUGACGAAGAACUCCGAUUGCGAAGGCAGCUCUCUAGACUGUUUCUGACACUGAUGCUCGAAAGUGUGGGUAUCAAACAG
rnacentral:rRNA from 1 species